rnacentral:lncRNA from 1 species
CAGCCGCCUCCCAGGCGGCACCCGGGCACCCGAGCAAGGCCCUCCGAGGUCCCUCCUGCCUGACUAGACAGCUACUCUGGAAUCCGGAGGGAGGUCCGGCAGCAGCAGAGAACAGCGUUGAUUAAUGUCUGGGGGCAGAAUUCCCAGGCAACCACUGCGGCAGGGUCCCAGAAGUGUUUCCAUAACAGCAGGCACUUAUUUCCUUAGACAGCACCCUGCCUAACGGACCGCCAACUACUCAUCCCUCAGUGUCCGGAUGGUGGCAGCUUCACUAACCCGCUGCUUUACUGGUCCCCUUGCCUGGGGGAUGUUUCAGAGUCAUGUUGGCAUUGUCCGGUUCCGGAAGGUAAACAAGCGGAACCAAACCUGUGACCUCCAGGGAGAGUCAGCGUACACCGCUCCCAUCACUGCUGGCCUGGUCCACUCUGUGCUGAUGGUUGGAAGAGAUCAAGGGCUGCUGUUCCACUUUCAGCUGGAUGCAGGAAGGCGACACCAGAGUCAUCGCUCACAAGGAGCUCAAGGACUUGGGGAGGCGAAGACCCAGCAGGCUCAUUCCCUUCCUCCUCCACCCUCCUUCUCUGCUCUCCUCCUGUCUGCGCCAGGUCUUCUGCAAAGCACUGAGGGACACUCACGGAAAACACAGCACACUUCUCCCAGGUGAUGCACAGACCGGUACCAGUAGAUGCCUGUUACACAGGGACGCGAGGCUCAACGUGUGUCUGGUUGGGGGCUUUUUUGAGGAAUGCCCACACAUCCUCCUGACAUUCUGGGAUGCCCACCCUCCUAAAAUUCAAGACUCCACACCAGUCAGUCUGUAAGGACAACACUAGUUUCCGAU